rnacentral:rRNA from 1 species
GAUGAACGCUAGCGGCAGGCUUAAUACAUGUAAGUCGAGGGACAGCACAGGUAGCAAUACUGGGUGGUAACCGGCAAACGGGUGCGGAACACGUACACAACCUUCCUUUAAGUGGGGGAUAGCCUAGAGAAAUUUGGAUUAAUACCCCGUAAUAUAGUUGAAUGGCAUCAUUUGAUUAUUAUAGCUACGGCGCUUAAUGAUGGGUGUGCGGCUGAUUAGAUAGUUGGCGGGGUAAGGGCCCACCAAGUCUACGAUCAGUAGCUGAUGUGAGAGCAUGAUCAGCCACACGGGCACUGAGACACGGGCCCGACUCCUACGGGAGGCAGCAGUAAGGAAUAUUGGUCAAUGGACGCAAGUCUGAACCAGCCAUGCCGCGCGAAGGAUUAAGGUCCUCUGGAUUGUAAACUUCUUUUAUUUGGGACGAAAAAGGGCCUUUCUAGGUCAACUGACGGUACCAGAUGAAUAAGCACCGGCUAACUCCGUGCCAGCCGCCGCGGUAACAC